UGAAGAGAUAGUCAAGUUUAUUCAUAGAAUGUAUUUUGGUAUAUACAGAGAAACCAACAUAUCUGCCAAUUGGCAGGCAGGAUAGCUCUUUUGUAUGAUCAUAACACUGUAUUAGAAAAGAGAACGUAGAGAUGAUACAUAUUUUGCAUGAUCACAGCAUUCAUUCAAAAAAGGGAUAGGGCAUGGUUUGCCAUGCAUCACGUGUGAAAAUGAUGGGCAGAUGGAAUCAAAGAACAAAAUUGACAUUUGAUAAGGAGAGCAUAGAACACUGACAACAUUUAACAGGAGGGCAUAGCAAAAAGAUGUUCCACUGCUUUAUGAGGAACAACAUGAUCAAGCUUGAACUCAUAUGUUACACGAGUGUAAGCAAAGCCGAAGGCCACACGAUUUAAAUACUUGGUUCUAAGUAGAUGAUAGAAGCCUGCCUUUUGACAGAUGUAAUGACGGUCGGAAGCUGCAGGGAGGAACUUUCAAUAUGGUGACAUAUCUUAUAGAUGAUAUAGAAAAUGACCAUAGAAAGUUUAAAGUGAAAUGUAAAAUAAAUCCAAAUAAUAUAAUGGGAUCGAUGUAAACUUGCAUAGAAAACUGUUAAAUGGCUAAUUGCAAAUUGGAUCAAAGGAGGAUGUAGGAGGCAGAUGUCCGGCUGGAACUAUUCCUAUGUAUGUAGUUUCAGUUUUAGAUUUGUGAGCUACUCCUAUGCAUCUAGUUUCAUCUUAGUGAGAAUGCAUAAUUGACCUUUCAACUUGUUUUGAACACGUCCUAUUUGAACUGUAACUUUUUUACCUGAUACUUGCACAGAUCAAGUAGUACAAAUUGGUGAAGAAAAGCUCAGGUAUCUGAACCUUUUUGCAAACAAAGUUAAGGUUUACAACGUGAGUUUUAUAGCCUAAUCUAAAAAAUUACAGCUUAAUUUAACUUUUACCGCCUAAAUUUUAUAGAUCAAGUAGUACAAGUUGGGGAAAAAGUUCAGGUUUCAGUACCUAACAGGCAAAUUGGAACAGAACUAAAAAUUCAAUAGAAAAGCUCAUGUUUCAGUACCUAACAAAUGACGAACUGGUUUUCAAUGAUGGUAACCAAAUUGGAAUAAAACUUAAGUUCACUAAAAAAUUGAACAAAACGUAAGUAAAGUUUGCUGAAAAGUUCACUAAAUAACAUGAAAUGCAUAAACAUCCAGUACAUUAUAAGCUCCAUCAAAAUAGCAAAUUCAUUUGUUUCAGUACCUAAUAGGAAAGCAUCGAGCAAGUUUAGUACAUAAGAGGUUCAGUACAUAAAUUUAUUAGCUAGUUCAUAUAUGAACUCCAACAAAGUAUCCAGUUCAUAACAGGGUUAACAGGGAAUAUUUAUGUUGCACAUAUAUGAAGCUGAGUUAUAAUGGAUAAAAGGAUGACAACAGAUAAUAGUGACAUUAGAGGGUAAACAGGGCUCGCCGGGCACUAAUUAUGUUGUAGCACAAAAUACUAAUAAAUAGUAACUCUAAAGAUCAGUUAGGGGCUGAGGAAGGAAUUGUAAUUAGCAAUGUCAGAAGAUUAAGCAAAGAGGCACUGUGAUUAUAUUGAAAAGAGAGACUCCAGCACCAAAUAAUUAGAUCUUCGGAUCAUUUAGACAUCUGAUUAGAUUUCUCAAAUAAGAAAAAUGUAGAAGAGCAAUUGUUUAAUUCAAGGAUACACUCAAACAGUCCAAAAUGUUUCAUAAUGUAAAUGAUAUGAUGCUCCCAGGCUUAAUGUGAACAAGCACUAUGUUGGAAUUUAAUUUUCAAGAUAACACACAACGAACAUUGUGAUACUGUGGAUGUGAAUCCUACCAAUAGUGUUGUAUUUCAAUAGUAGAAUGUGGUUGUAGUGUUGGACACAAGUUCAUUAUGAUAGAUGAGGUCUCAUGGCACUACAUGCAAAUGUAGACCAUCUAGGUAUCAAAUGCACAAUAAAGAGCACACAAAAGAAAUGCCUGUUUUGGUGAAGAUUAACAGUAACUUUGAUGUAGUAUGAACCUCAAGCUUUCCAAAAAGCGCUCAGUUUGAAAUCUGGUAAAUUAAACUCCAAGACUAAAAUAAACAUGUGUAAGUUCAGUUUUGGAUGGGCUAAUAUAGAUGGAAUCGCCCACCAUUUAUAGAAAUUGAUAAUUAAAUUAACCCCUCUUAGUCUCAGAUACACCUCACAUGAGCCACUAUUUUGUGUUUUUGUACAGACUGGCAAUGAACCACUAUUUUGGAAGUCUAAUACCAUAAUCACUAAGAGACAUAUAUCAGCGAUAGUAAUAAGAAAAAACACAAUAUAAAAAAACAUUUUGUAGCAGGGCAGAUCAGGAUACGAUGUGAGAAAAUAAUUGGUUUGUUCUUCCUUUUGAUUUCAACACAAUAUUCCCUCACUAACAUGUUUACCUUCCUCUGCUCCAUUCCCAACUGACAUAUGUCUGCCUGCACAAAGCAACGGAUCAGAGAGAAUGAAUGGCAAUAAAAAAAUCUGGAAUAAAGGUAUACCACACUACAAUAUCGGGUGAAAUCAGAAAACAUCAGUAACCUUAUUUACAUUAUGUCAGUACUACUAACUUCGACUUUAGCUAGGGUUGUCCGCAAUAUGAAUAUAUACUAACCUUCAGGAAGAAUAUAUCGGGUGUCCAAGCUCGCUAUCUUGCCAGUUGCCACACCACUCUUAUCCGAGAAGAGAGCUCAACAACUACACGAGUGACCGACGUGUGGAGCAGGAUGUAGUCAAUGGGAUCC
rnacentral:lncRNA from 1 species